rnacentral:lncRNA from 1 species
CUGCCGCCAUGACGCUCACCUUCCGCCAUGGUUGGGAGGCCUCCCCAGGCACACGGAACUCCUUUCAGGUCUCAUAUUCCGGUGUCUUUGUAAGUCAAGAAAAGAGACCUUCAAAAACUGGAAUUUGGAUUUGGGAAUCCCCUAAGGCAAAGCUUGUCUCUACAUAGUCACCUUAAAAUGAAGCCUGCCAGGAGACAUAUAGUCAACAUGCAACUAUCUUCCAACGAGUUUGUAUUAAUCCAAAUAAUUCAGCCAUAAUUAUCACUUAACAAUCAAC